ensembl:snRNA U6 U6 spliceosomal RNA
GUGCUCACUUCAGCAGCACAUAUACUAAAUUUGGAACAACACAGAGAUUAGCAUGACCCUUGUGCAAAGAUGACACAAAUUCAUGAAACAUCCCAUAUUUUU